AGCAGCCGCGGUAAUUCCAGCUCCAAUAGCGUAUAUUAAAGUUGUUGCAGUUAAAAAGCUCGUAGUUGAAUUUCGGGGUCAGCAAGUUGGUCGUGCCACCGGUAUGUACUGGCUUUGCUGAUUCCUCCUUCUUGUAGAACCGUAAUGCCAUUUAGUUGGUGUUGCGGGGAAACAGGACUGUUACUUUGAAAAAUUAGAGUGUUUAAAGCAGGCUAACGCCUGAAUACAUUAGCAUGGAAUAAUGAAAUAGGACGAGCGAUCCUAUUUUGUUGGUUUCUAGGAUUGACGUAAUGAUUAAUAGGGAUAGUUGGGGGCAUUAGUAUUCAAUUGUCAGAGGUGAAAUUCUUGGAUUUAUUGAAGACUGACUACUGCGAAAGCAUUUGCCAAGGAUGUUUUCAUUAAUCAAGAACGAAAGUUAGGGGAUCGAAGACGAUCAGAUACCGUCGUAGUCUUAACCAUAAACUAUGCCGACUA
rnacentral:rRNA from 1 species